UCUGUUUUCUUUUCUUUAAAAUGUGGUGU
rnacentral:piRNA from 1 species